UGGGGAAUUUUUGACAAUGGGCGAAAGCCUGAUCAAGCAAUGCCGCGUGAGUGAUGAAGGCCUUUAACGGUUGUAAAGCUCUUUUAGUAGUGAUGAUAAUGACAGUAGCUACAGAAAAAGUCCCGGCUAACUUCGUGCCAGCAGCCGCGGUAAUACGAAGGGGGCUAGCGUUACUCGGAAUUACUGGGCGUAAAGCGUGCGUAGGUUGUUUUGUAAGUUGGUAUUUAAAUUCUCAGGCUCAACUUGAGGGCUGGUAUCAAUACUGCAAGACUAGAGUACUGGAGAAGAUAGUGGAAUUCCUAGUGUAGAGGUGGAAUUCGUAGAUAUUAGGAGGAACACCAGAGGCGAAAGCGACUAUCUGGCCAGAAACUGACGCUGUUGCACGAAAGCGUGGGGAGCA
rnacentral:rRNA from 1 species